GGUCAUAUCACAUUGAAAUAGCGGUCCCCGUACGAUCACCGAAGUUAAGCAACGUCGAGCCUGGUCAGUACUUAGAUGGGUGACAUCUUGGGAAUACCAGGUGCUGUAG